rnacentral:rRNA from 1 species
UUAGUGGGGGACAACAUCUCGAAAGGGAUGCUAAUACCGCAUACGUCCUACGGGAGAAAGCAGGGGAUCACUUGUGACCUUGCGCUAAUAGAUGAGCCUAAGUCGGAUUAGCUAGUUGGUGGGGUAAAGGCCUACCAAGGCGACGAUCUGUAGCGGGUCUGAGAGGAUGAUCCGCCACACUGGGACUGAGACACGGCCCAGACUCCUACGGGAGGCAGCCAGUGGGGAAUAUUGGACAAUGGGGGGAACCCUGAUCCAGCCAUGCCGCGUGUGUGAAGAAGGCCUUAUGGUUGUAAAGCACUUUAAGCGAGGAGGAGGCUCUUUUGGUUAAUACCCAAGAUGAGUGGACGUUACUCGCAGAAUAAGCACCGGCUAACUCUGUGCCAGCAGCCGCGGUAAUACAGAGGGUGCAAGCGUUAAUCGGAUUUACUGGGCGUAAAGCGCGCGUAGGCGGCCAAUUAAGUCAAAUGUGAAAUCCCCGAGCUUAACUUGGGAAUUGCAUUCGAUACUGGUUGGCUAGAGUGUGGGAGAGGAUGGUAGAAUUCCAGGUGUAGCGGUGAAAUGCGUAGAGAUCUGGAGGAAUACCGAUGGCGAAGGCACCCAUCUGGCCUAACACUGACG